rnacentral:rRNA from 1 species
GUUGUGGAAAUGUUGGGUUAAGUCCCGCAACGAGCGCAACCCUUAUCCUUUAUUUGCCAGCACGUAAUGGUGGGACUCUAGGGAGACUGCCGGUGAUAAACCGGAGGAAGGUGGGGACGACGUCAAGUCAUCAUGGCCCUUACGAGUAGGGCUACACACGUGCUACAAUGGCGAGUACAGAGGGUUGCAAAGCCGCGAGGUGGAGCUAAUCUCACAAAGCUCGUCGUAGUCCGGAUUGGAGUCUGCAACUCGACUCCAUGAAGUCGGAAUCGCUAGUAAUC